GUUAUUUCCAAGCUGUGUUUGUAGUUUCGUAUCGGCUAUCAGAUAUGACAUCAAGACGUGAAGGGAAUUCCAUACUUGUGGACAGGAUUACCUGCUCAGACCCGUGCAGCUUUAAAUCAGGAGCAGCAUUUCAGCCCUCAGGUGACAAAGGUGUGGCUCUGACUACAACCUCAGCAUCUCAUUAUGAAUCAGAAGCCCGGGGAUGCAGUCACAACCAGGGUCUAGUGAAGGCCUGACAACCAUAUGCUGCAUAUUGAAACACCAAAAACAAUAUAAAGGA